rnacentral:rRNA from 1 species
AGCGAACGCUGGCGGCAGGCCUAACACAUGCAAGUCGAGCGGGCACUUCGGUGUCAGCGGCAGACGGGUGAGUAACACGUGGGAACGUACCCUUUGGUUCGGAAUAACGCUGGGAAACUAGCGCUAAUACCGGAUACGCCCUUUUGGGGAAAGGCUUGCUGCCGAAGGAUCGGCCCGCGUCUGAUUAGCUAGUUGGUGGGGUAAUGGCCUACCAAGGCGACGAUCAGUAGCUGGUCUGAGAGGAUGAUCAGCCACACUGGGACUGAGACACGGCCCAGACUCCUACGGGAGGCAGCAGUGGGGAAUAUUGGACAAUGGGCGCAGGCCUGAUCCAGCCAUGCCGCGUGAGUGAUGAAGGCCUUAGGGUUGUAAAGCUCUUUUGUCCGGGACGAUAAUGACGGUACCGGAAGAAUAAGCCCCGGCUAACUUCGUG